AGACGUCUACAUUAGAUACCCCGGUAGUCCUAGCCGUAAACGAUACUCGCUAGGUGUCGGCCACGGUGCGACCGUUGUCGGUGCCGUAGGGAAGCCGUGAAGCGAGCCACCUGGGAAGUACGGCCGCAAGGCUGAAACUUAAAGGAAUUGGCGGGGGAGCACAGCAACGGGUGGAGCUUGCGGUUUAAUUGGACUCAACGCCGGGAAGCUUACCGGAUAAGACAGCGGAAUGAUUGCCGGGCUGAAGACCCUGCAUGACCAGCUG
rnacentral:rRNA from 1 species